rnacentral:rRNA from 1 species
UACGUAGGGGGCAAGCGUUAUCCGGAUUUACUGGGUGUAAAGGGAGCGUAGACGGCAAUGCAAGUCUGGAGUGAAAGCCCGAGGCCCAACCACGGGACUGCUCUGGAAACUGCGGGGCUGGAGUGCAGGAGGGGUAAGCGGAAUUCCUAGUGUAGCGGUGAAAUGCGUAGAUAUUAGGAGGAACACCGGUGGCGAAGGCGGCUUACUGGACUGUAACUGACGUUGAGGCUCGAAGGCGUGGGGAGCAAACAGG